rnacentral:tRNA from 2 species
GCGGGUAUCGUAUAGUGGUUAUUAUCGAUGCUUCCCAAGCAUCAGAGACGGGUUCGAUUCCCGUUACCCGCUCAA